rnacentral:rRNA from 1 species
GGGGCAGCAUGACUGUAGCAAUACAGUUGAUGGCGACCGGCAAACGGGUGCGGAACACGUACACAACCUUCCUUUAAGCGGGGAAUAGCCCGGGGAAACCCGGAUUAAUACCCCAUAGUAUAUUGAAGAGGCAUUUCUUUACUAUUAAAGAUUUAUCACUUGAAGAUGGGUGUGCGGCUGAUUAGCUAGUUGGCGGGGUAACGGCCCACCAAGGCAACGAUCAGUAACUGGUGUGAGAGCACGACCAGUCACACGGGCACUGAGACACGGGCCCGACUCCUACGGGAGGCAGCAGUAAGGAAUAUUGGUCAAUGGACGCAAGUCUGAACCAGCCAUGCCGCGUGGAGGAUGAAGGUCCUCUGGAUUGUAAACUUCUUUUAUCUGGGACGAAAAAAGAUCUUUCUAGAUCAACCGACGGUACCAGGUGAAUAAGCACCGGCUAACUCCGUGCCAGCAGCCGCG